rnacentral:rRNA from 1 species
AACGAACGCUGGCGGCAUGCCUAACACAUGCAAGUCGAACGAACCCUUCGGGGUUAGUGGCGCACGGGUGCGUAACGCGUGGGAAUCUGCCCUUUGCUUCGGAAUAACUCAGGGAAACUUGUGCUAAUACCGGAUGAUGUCUUCGGACCAAAGAUUUAUCGGCAAGGGAUGAGCCCGCGUAGGAUUAGGUAGUUGGUGGGGUAAAGGCCUACCAAGCCGACGAUCCUUAGCUGGUCUGAGAGGAUGAUCAGCCACACUGGGACUGAGACACGGCCCAGACUCCUACGGGAGGCAGCAGUGGGGAAUAUUGGACAAUGGGCGCAAGCCUGAUCCAGCAAUGCCGCGUGAGUGAUGAAGGCCCUCGGGUCGUAAAGCUCUUUUACCAGGGAUGAUAAUGACAGUACCUGGAGAAUAAGCACCGGCUAACUCCGUG